UGAUAAUAGAGUUACCGGAAGAGUGGCUCUGAUACCACUUGAAGAACCCUAGGAAACGCUACUCAACCGGUAAGGGGGAUAUGAACUCCGAAAGGAGAACUGGUGGGAUGAAUGACGACACAAGGGGCUGCGGAAUGACCCAAUGAUACUGUCUAAGUGUCUUUCAACGCCUGAUAUGACUCACAGGUCCGUUGGAGAGACGAUCUCGAUCUGUUGCCGGAUGUGACGCACCGGUCCAACAAGAAAGAGGUGUU
rnacentral:lncRNA from 1 species